CACGAUUCCGGAGGUUCGUAUAAAAGCGAUGGAUUCAAGUUGAAUCCAUUUCCACAUCAUCCUGCGAUUCUCCCGGUGAAGUCCGACCGAGGUUCAGCGACGGUGAAGCAACAGCUCGCAUCUGAGAAGAACACCUAAAACCGAGUUGAUUGAAGGUUGUAACUUCAUAUCUAGGGUUUACCCUAUUUCCAAAUCAGACGAUCGACUCCAAGGUUU